rnacentral:rRNA from 1 species
AGUGAACGCUGGCGGCGUGGAUUAGGCAUGCAAGUCGAACGAUCUAGCAAUAGAUAGUUGCGAAAGGGUGAGUAACGCGUGAGCAAUCUACCUUCAAGUGGGGAAUAACCUUGGGAAACCGAGGCUAAAACCGCAUGAGACCACGGCCUGGCAUCAGGCUGUGAUCAAAAGUGGGGACCGUAAGGCCUACUGCUUGGAGAUGAGCUCGCGUCCUAUCAGCUUGUUGGCGGGGUAACGGCCCACCAAGGCUUUUGACGGGUACCUGGUCUGAGAGGACGAUCAGGCACACUGGAACUGAGACACGGUCCAGACACCUACGGGAGGCUG